UCCCCCGCAACCGAGACGCGACGGGACGGAACGGGACGGGAUGGGGGGAAAUAGCCGAGUCACGGCCUAGAGCCCGUGACGGCAGGGCGGGGUAGCUACCGCCCGUCUCGGGCAGGGUACCUCGCGCUCUGUCAGGGACGGUCUCCAAUGCCAGAUGCCUUCCUCCUUUCAGAACCUCUGUUGGCGGACCCUGCGGUUGCCUCAUGCAUCACACCUUACUGCUUCAAGCCGGUUACUUUCCUUACUUCAGGGAAAAAGAACGCAAAUUAAGUUCCCUCUUACGUGGCCGUGCAGGGCAAAAAUUUCGGGGUUUUGCCCGCCAGUCCCAAGUGAAGGCGUAGAGAUGGACUCCGUGCUGGAGAAGGUCCCCCGUAGCUUUGUGUGGUGCAGGACACAAAUCAUCCUUAGCUUUAACCAACACCACAGGUAAGAGGUUUGGGGACCCUCCAAGCUUUCCUGUAUCAGUCAGAACUAGUUGGGAUACAGAAGAAAUUUUAAAACGCAAUUAUAGAAUGUCUUGCAAUCACUUGACUUGCAGCAUUUACUAAACACGUACUGACUGACAGUUUUAAAUUGUUACAAGAGCUAUUUACUUAGCAUCAGGAUAUUUCAAGGUAACAUCCACUUGAUGCCUGUUUGUGAGAACAUGAAUAUGGUGUAAAAUACUAAGAAAGCUAUAUUUAAAUUAAAGACCAAAAACAGUAUUCAGUGCCAUUUUAUUGCUCAUCUAUUUUAUCAUGUCUAUGCCCAGCUAGAGGCUCUAUGGGAUCAAUCCUGCUGUGAUGCUAUUGUGCAGGAUGCUGUGCAGGGAAUGACUGCUUUUCUAUUUCCUUUCAUAACACCAUGAGGAGCACCCAGUGUAUUAUUGUCAGUCCAACCUCUGAAGUGCAGCAUUGCAUGACCUGGAAAUACAAUAUAAAUAGGGCAUUGUCAAGUCAGAAGUAGCCAUGCCUAGAGCCAGGCACUCGAGAGAGCAGGCCUGCAAAAGAAAGCUGGGUUGUGACAUGCAGACAGAAGACAGAAAUUCCUGCACACAAGAGAAAAACUACAUAGGGCAAGGUUAUUCUUCAGCUCCUGUUUCUGACUCUUGUACUGACCAUAGACAGAUUUUCAUUAACUUUGCAAGAAAUGUGGUGCUAUUUACUAAAAGUGUUAUUUCUAUCUGUUUUACUAAAGAAAUAAUCUCUAUUAUUUAGCUUUUCCACCGAAACAACCUUAAUACUUAUCAAGGAUCAGUGUUUAAAUAAAAUAGUAUUACAAAAAGCUAUUAAUUUCUCAAAAAGGAGUUUUCUAGCCACAGUCACAGGCAUUGAGAUCUUGCAAACACAAAAGAUUGGGAUAUUUACAAAGAGCACGUUUGACUUAGCAAGAGCUUUACUACGAGCUAGAAAAUAAGUGUAAAUUGGAAAUGUCCAAGGCCAGACUGGACAGGGCUUGGAGCACCCUGGUCUAGUGGAAGUUGUCCCUGCCUGUGGCAGGGUUUGGAACAAGAUGAGCUUUAAGGUGCUUCCAACCAGUCUGAUAUUCUGUACCACAGAAACUUCUCAAUCAAUAAUUGCCAUCUUUUGCAGACUCCUCUUUAAAUGUUACAGUAGAAAUGUGAACCUUGUUGGAGUUGUCAGUGUCCUGAUUAGAAGCAGAAGAUGGCAUUAGGAAUAGCUAAAAUGGUAGGUGUUCUUUGCAGCCUUGGUUUAAUGUCACAGAAGCUAGAAAUGGUCAGGCCCUGAAUCCUGUUACUUCCUAGUUUCUAGCAAGUGAUUUGUACAGUGUUCUGACGUUCUGUUCAGUCUGGGUUUUCAUAUUCCAGUCUGGGGAUUUCUACCACUUUGUCUUUUGGCUCCUGUAUUGUGGAAAGGCUUCAUUUUUCAUGUAGUUUAUGUUUUCCCUCAACAUUUAACUGCAUUGCCAGUAGGAACAUGCUAACAACAAUUUUCAGUAGCACAGCAUAGGUUACCACAGUGAUACAUGGUUGAAAUUUAAAGAAGUGGGAUAUGAAAUCACCUAUUGUUCUUAUUAUGUAACACUGCACAGAUGAGCACUUCAAUUCUCAAACCCCACUUUAGACUUCCAUCAGAGUCAGGCUUUUCUGAUGUUUAUUCUUUGUUAUGUUUUCUGAAAGUUCAGAAAUUUGUAGAUGAGCUUGUUCUCUUGCUGGGAUCUGGUGUCACUAGAUAACUUAGGUUAUUUUUAGUGUCUGCCUUCCCCAGUUACACAGCAUUUCUUCCUGCGUGAUAUGCUGCUUUUAGCAUUUGAAGCAAAAAGUGUUAUUUGUCUGUAGGAUUACUGUUUUCAAAUAUCAUUAAAUCAGCUAUAAUUCAUCUCCACUUAUUUACAUUGUUCUUUCUUUUAUGUUCUUAAAAGCCCACAGGAAUUAGUUUUUAUUCUACCAUAUAUAGCCUCAAUUUUCAAUUCCUUCCUCUCUUUUUUCCCAUCCAAAAGGGGAUAAUGUGUAGGCAUGGUUCUAAAAUCUGACAUUUGUGGCCACACUAGUAAUGUUCCUCAAAUUAUACAUUAAAAAUGACUCCCCAUUUCAGCCUCCAUGACUGAGAGAAAUACCUAAAAUACCGAUGUAACUGUCAAAUGCUAUCAUCUCACCAUUCAAUUUUUAUAUUACUCCUUCCAUAUAAAACUGCUCUAGAUCUGUGGUACCAGGAUAGCUGUCUUUAAAAAAAGAAAUGUGUAUUUUUUAAAUGUCUUGGCAGUGUUUCAGUUUGCUAUUUUAGUAAGCAAUGUGACUUGUAAAGCUGAUAAAGGAAAAAUUCUCAUUUUGAAACCUGUGAUAUCAGAAUGGAAGGCAAGAAUGAAAUACUUCUCCAGGUGGCUGCAAGCAUGCCCUUGUUAUUUCACACAGUGAAAAUUCU
ensembl:lncRNA